rnacentral:rRNA from 1 species
GAUGAACGCUGGCGGCGUGCCUAAUACAUGCAAGUAGAACGCUGAAGGAAGGAGCUUGCUCUUUCCGGAUGAGUUGCGAACGGGUGAGUAACGCGUAGGUAACCUGCCUGGUAGCGGGGGAUAACUAUUGGAAACGAUAGCUAAUACCGCAUAACAGUAGAUGUUGCAUGAUAUCUACUUAAAAGGUGCAAUUGCACCACUACCAGAUGGACCUGCGUUGUAUUAGCUAGUUGGUGAGGUAACGGCUCACCAAGGCGACGAUACAUAGCCGACCUGAGAGGGUGAUCGGCCACACUGGGACUGAGACACGGCCCAGACUCCUACGGGAGGCAGCAGUAGGGAAUCUUCGGCAAUGGACGGAAGUCUGACCGAGCAACGCCGCGUGAGUGAAGAAGGUUUUCGGAUCGUAAAGCUCUGUUGUAAGAGAAGAACGAGUGUGAGAGUGGAAAGUGCACACUGUGACGGUAUCUUACCAGAAAGGGACGGCUAACUACGUG